rnacentral:rRNA from 1 species
GACGAACGCUGGCGGCAUGCCUUACACAUGCAAGUCGAACGGCAGCACGGGAGCAAUCCUGGUGGCGAGUGGCGAACGGGUGAGUAAUGUAUCGGAACGUGCCCAGUCGUGGGGGAUAACGUAGCGAAAGCUACGCUAAUACCGCAUACGAUCUGUGGAUGAAAGCGGGGGACCGUAAGGCCUCGCGCGAUUGGAGCGGCCGAUAUCAGAUUAGGUAGUUGGUGGGGUAAAGGCCUACCAAGCCGACGAUCUGUAGCUGGUCUGAGAGGACGACCAGCCACACUGGGACUGAGACACGGCCCAGACUCCUACGGGAGGCAGCAGUGGGGAAUUUUGGACAAUGGGCGCAAGCCUGAUCCAGCAAUGCCGCGUGCAGGAUGAAGGCCUUCGGGUUGUAAACUGCUUUUGUACGGAGCGAAAAGGCUCUCUCUAAUACAGGGGGCUCAUGACGGUACCGUAAGAAUAAGCACCGGCUAACUACGUGCCAGCCGCCGCGGUAAAAC